CGGUGAUGAUAUUUUUAAAAAUAGAUGACGAGUCUGAUUUUUGAGGUUUUUCUCACUGAAGACAAAAAAUUUAAUUUUAUACCAUUCAUGCUUUUCUGAAG